rnacentral:rRNA from 1 species
GAUAGUACUCUACUUGGAUAAUAGCCGUAAUUCUUCUACAACUACUACCUGCAAACCCCCCCUUCUGGAGGGGGGGAUUUUUUAUAUAAAAAAACACUGCCCUUCGGGGCUCCUUGGUGGUUCAUCAUAACUACUCAAAUCACCUGGCCUUGCUCCGGCGAUGGUGCUUUCUUAUUUCUGCCCUAUCAACUUUCUAUGGUAGGAUAAGGGCCUACCAUGGUGUCGACGGGUAACGGAGAAUUAUGGUGCUAUUCCUCAGAAGAAGGCUGAUAAAAAGCUACCACCUCCUCCGAAGGAAGCAGGCGCGCCAAUUACCCCCUGCCGACACCGCGAGGAAGUGACGAUAAAUACUGAUACAGGGCUCUUUUUGGUCUUGUAGUUGGAAUGAUGACAAUGUAAAUACUUCAUCAAGGAACAAUUGGAGGGCGACUCUGGUGGUGA